GCUCAGAUGGCUGAAUGGUCAAGGCGAUGGCCUGCUAAUCCAUUGUUCCUUCUGUUCUUGGGUUUGAAACCCAUUUUUGUCU
rnacentral:tRNA from 1 species